GAAGCUCGCGUACUCGCGUAUAAAACGGCCGCGAUACUCCGAUACGCCGAUACGCCUCCGAUACGCGUAUCGGCCGCGUGUCCCCUUUUCCCAAAAUUAAAAAUAAAGAAAUUAAAUCUGAUACGCGGCGGGGACGGCGGCGACACGGGAGAGCCCAGAUCGAGCGAUUGCUAACCCUAACCCAGCGACCUCCCCCUGUCUAUUCGUUUCAUUCGCAGGAAACGGCAGCCUCCUGAGCCCGCACGAGCAGCCGCCGCCUGGAAUAGCGCCGCCGCCGGCCGGAAUAGCUCCGCCGCCGGCCGGAAUCGCGCCGCCUCCGGCCGGAAUCGCGCCUCCUCCACCUGGAUUCGCCCCUCCCCAACAUCACGCGCCUCCACCGGCCGGAAUCGCGCCGCCUCCCCAAGGCCCAAGGGGGUGAGAUGGCAUCUGCAGGCAGUCAAUCUUCAGUUCGUGGUACUGCAAGCAAUUCCAUAGAUGUUGAUGGUCCAGUUGGUGGUACUGUGAACGGAAUUGGAGCACAUAUGCUUUCAUUCAUAGCUCUGCUAGAAACAAGCUAACCCCUGCACGAGCUGCGGAUCUAGUGUACACGCACAACAACCAUCGUCUACUUUCACGACAUUCUCGUGAAUAUUAGAGUGGGCCAAGCCACAUGUGGGAUGUUGGUGGAGAUGGGGUUGAGAGCUUCACUGGUGUUGGCAUGCUUGAAGGUGCUGAUCUUUCUCUUGAUGAACCAGAAUUGGAGGCGCGGAUUCUCGAUGAUCUCUCUUGAGCUUCGGUCUAUUUAAUCCAUGCUAUUGUUAUGUUAUGUAAUGAACAGUUGAACACUUUCCAUUCCUGCACCGUUUGUCAUUUGACUAAAUUAUGUGGCCUGUGUAACGCUGGUACUUUGUAUCUCUCUAUUUAUUUAUGAUGUAAUGUUAGUGGACUAAAGAUGUUCUGCACUCUUUGGUGUUUGGUCUAUACAUUUAUGGAGGCUGGGAUGCAUUUUAGAUUUAAGUACCACGAGGAUUGAGGGCAAGUGGUGAUCAUUCAGACUCAUCAUUCAUCAAGAAAAGGCAGAAAAUGGGGCAGUUCUUAUAUCUCAUCUCAUAUUUACUUUAUUAUGAUUUUUUGAUUUAUGAAUUAUGAUCUGUUAUAUACUUAUAUUAUUGCAUUUAUACAUAUACUCGCCGUAUCGCCGUUUC